CCGAAGGCCGUGUGCAGAUGGCCAACCGCGCCGCGUUCCCGCCCGGCGAUGCGCGCGAGGACUGGGCGAUCAUCCGCGCGCUGUCGGACGUUCUCGGCAAGAAGCUGCCGUUCGACUCGCUCGGGCAACUGCGCCAGGCGAUCUUCAAGGCCGCGCCGCAUCUGAUGCGGAUCGCCCAGAUCGAAGGCAACGAUGCGGCGGGCGUGAAAGCGCUUGCGGCGCGCGGCGGC
rnacentral:misc_RNA from 1 species